ensembl:lincRNA Gm26798 predicted gene, 26798
AAAAAGAGGGACUGAGAUGUAGCUCAGUUAGUAGAAUGCUUAAUAGCAUGCAUGAAACCCUGGGUUUAAUCCCAAACAUUAUAUAAAUUAGUCAUGGUGGUACACCCUGUAAUCCAGGCACUUGGGAAACAGAGGAAGGGGAACAGAAGUUUACAGUAACCCUCAAUCUAUAAAGUAAUAUUUGAGAUCAUACUGGGUAAAAUUAGAUCCUGUCUCAAAAAAAGUAAACAAGUAAAGAGUUGAAAGAAGAGCAAUUUCAUGGCUACAUCAUUGUGAAGAUUACACAAGAUGAUACAGGUAAGACACUUAAAAAGUGUUUGGGCCUGCCAAGCAUGGUAGGACUGGGACCAGUCAUUAUUGUUAUUAAAUAUUUUAAACAGCACCCUUUCCAUAAGGAGAAAGAGAGAGGAGGGAUGCAGAGCCAAACUGCCUUAAGUACAAAUUCUGGCUCUCUUACAUCAGUCUCUUUAUCUCUCAAACAGGGAAAUUAUAGCUCCUAUAGUCUAUGGUUACCUUAAGGAUUAGAUGAGAAAUUCCCAUAUAAAUUAAAUACAGAGCUGGGCAUGGUGGUGCAUGCCUUGAAUCCUAGCACUUGUGGGGCAGAGGUAGGGAGAUCUCUGCUAGCUCUAGGCCAGUCUGGUCUAUAUAGCAAGUUCCAGAACAGCUGAGGCUACAGAGAGAGACCUUGUCUCCAAAUAAAUAAAUGAAUCAAUCAAUAGUAAAUGCAAUGGCACACAAGAAAUACUCAGCACAUUUAUCAUGUGCACUAAGUAAAGAGCUAUUCCCAAAGCUUUAAAUAUUAUCUCCCUGCUCAAAAUUGUAUGUUCAGCCUAACCUCUCCUGUUUCACAUCUGUCGGUUAGAUACAUUCUCCCUAAUGGCCCCUGGGCUUCUUAGAAGUCUCCCACUAGUCUCAGCCGAAGGAAAACCUUGCUUGCUCUCUCUAACAUGUAACCAUUCCCUCAUAUCUAUCACUGCCUCAACCCAGCUUCUCCAUUUAAUUAGAUGAUGCUACUACCCAGCCAUUUGUUCCACCGAGAAGUCUGGGACUCUCUCUGAGCUCUCUCACUCUCUCAUACCCCUCUUCAAUUGUUACUUACGGCUCUAAGAAGCUUCAACAGCUUUUCCUCCAAAAUACCUCCCUAAAUUAACUACUGAGGUUUGAACCACAACACCCCCUCCUAUCCAGAUAGUCAUAAUGCCCCACAACUCAAUCUCCAGCCUAGAACCACCCCCCUCACACUCCCACCCCCACCAAGCUGUAAGGCUGACUAGAAGACAAACAUUCUCAGGCAACCUAGACACACCAAUAUUAUCUAGUUCCUGCAAGAGAUCUGGGCCCUUUCCAUCUCCUCCUGAUGUCCGUGUUGAAAGGCUCUGGCCUGCUCUCCCACCCUCCUCCUUAAAGCUAAUUUCUUACUGGGCAAUGGUAGCAUACUUUAAUCCCAUCAGUUGGGAGGCAGAGGCAGGCGGAUCUCUAUGGAGUUUAAGGCCAGAGUUCCAGGACAUCUAUGGCUACACAGUAAAACAGUCCCGGAANNNNNNNNNNNNNNNNNNNNNNNNNNNNNNNNNNNNNNNNNNAUAGGGAAUGGAAUGAGAUGGUAAGAAGCCAGCAAGCAGCAUUGUCAGGUAGGACACAGAUGAAGGUGUCAGUGAAAACCUGUCUGGAAUAAGGCCUAGGGACAUGGUUGAGGAUGGUGACAAAUUGCGGGGAGGGGCUACAGCAGAAAGCGAGAAUUGGGGAAAGUGACUGGACUGAGAGCUGAUAGCGAACAGCAAGAGCUCCGUAAUAGAUUGGAAACAGCCUUCACUGAGUAAGUCAGCUGUGAGGAUACAAAGUAGCAGGUGAAGAAGUUCCAGAAAGAAGAGGCGCAUGGGAGAAGCAAAAGAUGAUNNNNNNNNNNNNAGGAGUGGGAGAAAGACAGUGGGUGAUGAUGACAACUGGGGAACGACCCGGAAGAGGAAUGGGAUGGAAAUAAAGGACAAUAACAAAGUGAGCGCUUGGCAGUGGGCACUGGUAGGAGGAGAUGAGCGAGCGGGGAGGGAACGCUUGAUAGGUGGAAAGGUCACCACCAGCGGGGCCCCUGAUGAGGAAGGUGGGAAAAAAAAAAGCCAAAGAUGAGAUAGGGAACACUGACAACUCCCCAGGCCCUGUAUCCAAGGUCCGCCCCACCUCUACAGCCACCGACAAAGGUGAGGGACCUUGAUAGGAGCAGAGGUGGACAACUGGGAGGGAGAGGACCAGGCGGCCACUAAGAGGCUGAGACUAAUUCUGAGAGUGGGGAAAAACUGACCACUGACAGGCCAGGAGCUGGGAUAGUAGCUAAAAGGGAUGUUGACUGUCAAGAAGGGUGAGCGCUGAGGGAAGGGAAGGGAUGGAUGGAUGGAUGGAUGGAUGAAUGAAUGACGGCAGUGGAGAGUGCUGGCUGACCGGGAAGCAGACUGAUGGAGGAGCUGACCCCCUGACGAAGCGCAGGGUGACAAAGGCGCUGCUCUACUGACAGGGCGCUGACGGCACAAGCUGAGUGACAGCAGGACGCUGACGGCCCGAAGGCGGUGGGGGGUGGGGGUGUCCCUCCUGUCCCCGGGCCGCAGGAAGCGGCGGGCGCGCAGCCGCACUCACCUGCCCAGCAGGCUGGGGGUCGCAGCGACUCCUCCUCCGAGGGAGGCCCAAGCGAGGCCAGGACGCUCGCAGAGGUGAAGUGCGGACGGCCUGGAGCGGGCCGCACGCACAUGGGCCCGACCCCGCGGCGCGGCGCCUUCGGACUCGGGCGCAGCCGGCGGGAGGCUCGGGACCCGCUCGGGACCGGCUCGGGGCCGCGGGCGAGAUCGCUCCAAAAUGGC